UAACGCGAAGAACCUUACCUGGUCUUGACAUCCACGGAACUUUCCAGAGAUGGAUAGGUGCCUUCGGGAACUGUGAGACAGGUGCUGCAUGGCUGUCGUCAGCUCGUGUUGUGAAAUGUUGGGUUAAGUCCCGCAACGAGCGCAACCCUUAUCCUUUGUUGCCAGCGGUCCGGCCGGGAACUCAAAGGAGACUGCCAGUGAUAAACUGGAGGAAGGUGGGGAUGACGUCAAGUCAUCAUGGCCCUUACGACCAGGGCUACACACGUGCUACAAUGGCGCAUACAAAGAGAAGCGACCUCGCGAGAGCAAGCGGACCUCAUAAAGUGCGUCGUAGUCCGGAUUGGAGUCUGCAACUCGACUCCAUGAAGUCGGAAUCGCUAGUAAUCGUGGAUCAGAAUGCCACGGUGAAUACGUUCCCGGGUCUUGUACACACCGA
rnacentral:rRNA from 1 species